UACAGAGGGUGCGAGCGUUAAUCGGAAUUACUGGGCGUAAAGCGCGCAUAGGCGGUUUUGUAAGUCGGGUGUGAAAGCCCCAGGCUCAACCUGGGAACUGCAUUCGAGACUGCAGGACUGGAGUAUGGGAGAGGGCAGCGGAAUUUCCUGUGUAGCGGUGAAAUGCGUAGAUAUAGGAAGGAACACCAGUGGCGAAGGCGACUCUCUGGUCUGUAACUGACGCUGAGGAGCGAAAGCGUGGGAGCGAACAGG
rnacentral:misc_RNA from 1 species